AUUGAACGCUGGCGGCAGGCCUAACACAUGCAAGUCGAACGGUAACAUUUCUAGCUUGCUAGAAGAUGACGAGUGGCGGACGGGUGAGUAAUACUUAGGAAUAUGCCUUUGCGUGGGGGAUAACUAUUGGAAACGAUAGCUAAUACCGCAUAAUGUCUUCGGACCAAAGGGGGCUUCGGCUCCCGCGCAAAGAGUAGCCUAAGCGAGAUUAGCUUGUUGGUGGGGUAAAGGCUCACCAAGGCGACGAUCUCUAGCUGUUCUGAGAGGAAGAUCAGCCACACUGGAACUGAGACACGGUCCAGACUCCUACGGGAGGCAGCAGUGGGGAAUAUUGCACAAUGGGCGCAAGCCUGAUGCAGCCAUGCCGCGUGUGUGAAGAAGGCCUUCGGGUUGUAAAGCACUUUCAGUUGUGAGGAAAGGUUAACGGUUAAUACCCGUUAGCUGUGACGUUAGCAACAGAAGAAGGACCGGCUAACUCCGUGCCAGCAGCCGCGGUAAUACGGAGGGG
rnacentral:rRNA from 1 species